UAUAAAAGCCCAGCCUGCACCAAAUGCAUCAGUGUACACCACAGCUCCCAGGAAGACAUCUUGGAUUUACAAGUACCGGGAGAUCCUGACGCAGAGAGGCCUUCGCCAACAGGAAAAAGCAAAGCUGCAUACCCUUGCAUGGACUGCAGUUGCAAGCAGGCUCCACCCACCCUGGCAAUUGACCGACUGCUUGAUUUUCUCAUUUUCCUGCUGUGACCUAGAACUUUUCUGAAAAGAAAAGGAAAGAAAAUGUAGCCAGUUUCAAUGAAGAGUGCCCAGCUUUUGCCUGGAGAGACACUGACAUUUGGGAGUGGGAAGCCUGGGAGCGGUUCAAGAUUCUUUACCACUUGAGUUUUUGCCUUUGAACUUCUCUGAGUAUCAAAGCUGAGUCCUGGCUUCUUACUUGCUGUGAAUCCUCAGUGACACAGAAGCUGGACUGCUCCUUAAGAGCAGAGAAAGACUAAGAUGGAUUUACAGACAUUACAGAGGUCACAAGCUA